AUUGAACGCUGGCGGCAGGCCUAACACAUGCAAGUCGAACGAGCGGCGGACGGGUGAGUAAUGUCUGGGAAACUGCCUGAUGGAGGGGGAUAACUACUGGAAACGGUAGCUAAUACCGCAUACCAUCAGAUGUGCCCAGAUGGGAGUAGCUAGUAGGUGGGGUAACGGCUCACCAAGGCGACGAUCCCUAGCUGGUCUGAGAGGAUGACCGGCCACACUGGAACUGAGACACGGUCCAGACUCCUACGGGAGGCAGCAGUGGGGAAUAUUGCACAAUGGGCGCAAGCCUGAUGCAGCAAUGCCGCGUGUGUGAAGAAGGCCUUCGGGUUGUAAAGCACUUUCGGCGAGGAGGCGUUACUCGCAGAAGAAGCACCGGCUAACUCCGUGCCAGCAGCCGCGGUAAUAC
rnacentral:rRNA from 1 species